AACUUUUAGCAACGGAUCUCUUGGUUCUGGCAUCGAUGAAGAACGCAGCGAAAUGCGAUAAGUAAUGUGAAUUGCAGAUUUCAGUGAAUCAUCGAAUCUUUGAACGCACAUUGCGCCCGCCAGUAUUCUGGCGGGCAUGCCUGUUCGAGCGUCAUUUCAACCCUCGAGCCCCUACGGGGGCUUGGUGUUGGGGAGCGGCCCCGCCCCUCUGCGGGCUGCCGUCCUCGAAAUACAGUGGCGGUCUCGCCGCAGCCUCCUCUGCGUAGUAGCUUGAAACCUCGCACCGGAGUGCGGCGUGGCCACGCCGUUAAGCCUUAGCUUCCUCAAAGGUUGACCUCGGAUCAGGUAGGGAUACCCGCUGAACUUAAGCAUAUCAAUAAGCGGAGGCU
rnacentral:misc_RNA from 1 species